UUCCCUUUGGCUCACCAACAAACCUUAACCCCUUGAUUCAAUCCCUUGAUUGAAUCAAGUUACAAGAUAUUAGAGCAAGAGUUUAAAUCAAAUACAAGCUUCUCAAAUAAGCAAAUAUAGCAAAUAUAACCAAGUAAAGUAAAGAGAAGAAGCCCUCAAACAAAUUUGUAGAUGAAGGAACUCGGCUUCUUCUUUACUUGACCCUCUUCUGAUUUUGCAUGA
rnacentral:lncRNA from 1 species